CAGGUGGUGCAUGGUUGUCGUCAGCUCGUGUCGUGAGAUGUUGGGUUAAGUCCCGCAACGAGCGCAACCCCUACGUUUAGUUGCUAACGCGUGAAGGCGAGCACUCUAGACGAACUGCCGUUGACAAACGGAGGAAGGUGGGGAUGACGUCAAGUCCUCAUGGCCCUUAUGGGUAGGGCUUCACACGUCAUACAAUGGUCGGUACAGAGGGUUGCCAAGCCGCGAGGCGGAGCCAAUCCCACAAAGCCGAUCGUAGUCCGGAUUGUUCUCUGCAACUCGAGAGCAUGAAGUCGGAAUCGCUAGUAAUCGCAGGUCAGCAUACUGCGGUGAAUACGUUCCCGGGUCUU
rnacentral:rRNA from 1 species